UGGUGUGAUAAGGAAAGCCAGGUAGGUGU
rnacentral:piRNA from 1 species